rnacentral:piRNA from 1 species
GGGGUGUCUAUGGAAAUGGUCUUUCUGAAGU